UUUUGGAAGCUACUGUUUUGUCAUCAAAUGCUACCGUUGCUCUAGAUGACAUCAGUGUGUCCCAGGAAUGUGAAAUUUCCUAUAAAUCACUACCAAGGACCAGUACACAAAGCAAGUGAGCUGAAUGGACUAAUCAAGAAAAAUUUGGGUCACAUGAUUCUGGAUUGAGACGAUUAAAGAACUUUUAAUUAAAGGUCCUUUAUUAAAGAUAUUUUUCAUUCGA